UACGUAGGGGGCAAGCGUUGUCCGGAUUUAUUGGGCGUAAAGAGCUCGUAGGUGGUUCGGUAAGUCGGAUGUGAAAUCUCCAGGCUCAACCUGGAGGGGUCAUUCGAUACUGCCGUGACUAGAGUUCGGUAGGGGAGUGUGGAAUUCCUGGUGGAGCGGUGAAAUGCGCAGAUAUCAGGAGGAACACCCGUAGCGAAGGCGGCACUCUGGGCCGAUACUGACACUGAGGCGCGAAAGCUAGGGGAGCAAACGGG
rnacentral:rRNA from 1 species